rnacentral:rRNA from 1 species
CGUGAGCAAUCUGCCCUUAUCUGGGGAUAACAGUUGGAAACGACUGAUAAUACCGCAUAACAUCGAGAGAAGGCAUCUUCUUUCGAUCAAAGAUUUAUCGGAUAAGGAUGAGCUCGCGUCUGAUUAGCUUGUUGGUGAGGUAACGGCUCACCAAGGCGACGAUCAGUAGCCGACCUGAGAGGGUGAUCGGCCACAUUGGAACUGAGACACGGUCCAAACUCCUACGGAAGGCAGCAG